rnacentral:rRNA from 1 species
UACAGAGGGGGCAAGCGUUAUUCGGAAUUAUUGGGCGUAAAGGGCGCGUAGGCGGCUUGGCAAGUGGAAGGUGAAAUCCCUCGGCUUAACCGAGGAACUGCCCUCCAAACUGCUUUGCUUGAGGCCGGGAGAGGCGAGUGGAAUUCCCAGUGUAGCGGUGAAAUGCGUAGAGAUCAUGAGGAAGACCAGUGGCGAAGGCGGGUCUCUGGACAGUUCCUGACACUGAGACACGAAGGCCAGGGGAGCAAACGGG